GCUGGCGUGCCUAAUACAUGCAAGAACGAUCGUUGAUGAUCGGUGCUUGCAGAACAGGAUUAGAUACCCUGGUAGUCCAUGCCGUAAACAUGAAUGCUAGGUGUUGGAGGGUUUCCGCCCUUCAGUGCCGCAGCUAACGCAUUAAGCAUUCCGCCUGGGGAGUACGACCGCAAGGUUGAAACUCAAAGGAAUUGACGGGGGCCCGCACAAGCGGUGGAGCAUGUGGUUUAAUUCGAAGCAACGCGAAGAACCUUACCAGGUCUUGACAUCUUUUGAUCACCUGAGAGAUCAGGUUUCCCCUUCGGGGGCAAAAUGACAGGUGGUGCAUGGUUGUCGUCAGCUCGUGUCGUGAGAUGUUGGGUUAAGUCCCGAACGAGCGCAACCCUUAUGACUAGUUGCCAGCAUUUAGUUGGGCACUCUAGUAAGACUGCCGGUGACAAACCGGAGGAAGGUGGUGACGUCAAAUCAUCAUGCCCCUUAUGACCUGGGCUACACACGUGCUACAAUGGAUGGUACAACGAGUUGCGAGACCGCGAGGUCAAGCUAAUCUCUUAAAGCCAUUCUCAGUUCGGACUGUAGGCUGCAACUCGCCUACACGAAGUCGGAAUCGCUAGUAAUCGCGGAUCAGCACGCCGCGGUGAAUACGUUCCCGGGCCUUGUACACACCGCCCGUCACACCAUGAGAGUUUGUAACACCCGAAGCCGGUGGCGUAACCCUUUUAGGGAGCGAGCCGUCUAAGGUGGGACAAAUGAUUAGGGUGAAGUCGUAACAAGGUAACCACUAGA
rnacentral:rRNA from 1 species